rnacentral:tRNA from 1 species
GCCGUUAUAGCUCAGCUGGUAGAGCAACGCACUCGUAACGCGUAGGUCUCCGGUUCAAUCCCGGAUAACGGCU